AUUUUUCGAAGUUCUCCCGACACGAGUUGUUUAAUUAUUUUAAUUAAAUAUAAUUCUCUCAAUGAUUUUACUAUAUAUAUCUUUAUAAUAAUGUAGUUAAAUAUUUCUUAAUUUUUAUAUGUUAAGUGCAUUAGAUUUAAAUAUCCAAUUUACUCGAAAACUUGCUUAGAAUUGUGUAAUUUGGAAGCAAGCACAGUGUGUGCAUCUAUCGUGUUUGUUGAGCUAAAUAUCGUUAGAUUUUCAUAAUUACGUAAUUUUUUCAAUUACAUUGCGUUUAUGUUUACAGAAAAAUUAAAUCCUUCUUAAUCACAUUAAUCAGCGUCGAAAAAGCUCGUGUUUACGUUCGAGCGAUUUCUCGACGGAGUUAUGAUAAUAAUAUUAUAAAUCGUAACGGAAAUAUUUUUGUCCGUAAAUCUACUUGGAUUUACCAAAGUGCUACCUGUUCUAAUGAGUUGUAAAAUUCGUACUAUCUAAGCGCCUCGAAACUGGUUAAGGUUGCUACCUAAAAUUUAUCUCGUGAGGACGUUAAAAUGGAAAAUAACGCGAAAAAUGAAGAUUGUGAAAUUCAGGGGAUUAAUAUAGUGAGCAAGAAAGAAGAAAGUUCAUCCCAAAAUGUACAAAAUUCUUCAGACACAAAAUUUUCCAUGGAUUCUAAGAAUACUCAAGUUCGUGUCGUCCGAGGAACAAAAAAGAUAAAAUUAGACGUUGGUGAUGGUAAUAACUUGGACAAAAAAGAUUCCAAGGAUGAAGAAAACAAUACAGAGGUGAAAGUAAAAUCUUUGAAAAGAUCUUGCGAAUUAUGGUCCAUGGAAGAUAAAAAUACCUUUUUCAAAGCUUUAAACGAGUAUGGAAAAGACUUUGAUGCUUUACAAAGUUAUUUCUUGAGCCAGGGAAAAAAAAAAGGUUUACCAGAUGUUGUAAUAAAAAAUAAGGAACAGAUUAGGCAUUUUUAUUACAGAACUUGGCUAAAAAUAUCGAAGCACCUAAAAUUUUCAGAAGAUGUAAAAAAAACUUCGCAGGAAUUGUAUGGAUUAAUUAAUUAUGGUGAACUUAGAAGAAAGUUACCACGAAUAUAUGAAAAGGUACAGUUGAAAUUAAAUGAGUUGGUUUAUUGGGGUUCAACACAAGUCAGACUUAGAGGAAGAACUAUGAGAAUUAAAACACCUAUAUGUAGAGCACUGAGGAAACUGAAUCAACUAGAAGAUUGGCAAGAAGAAAUUAAACUUCCCCCUAGGAUAACAAUAGAAUUAAGACCCCGUAAUAAUAUGGCAUGGUGGCAAGUGCAAGCAUCUUCGAUGAAUCCAAGAGUACGCACUCUAUUGCCUAUACAGAGACGUUUGUCUAGUUUAUUAAUAUUUCUGCAACAAAGAUGGAGACCUGCAAAGUAUAACACAUUCCCCAAUUUAGAAAAUGCAGUUGCUAAUGAAAUGAAAGAUAAUCGGUUAUUACGAGUAGCACCACCCGAAGGGAGCAAAAUUGCUUUGCCAAUGGUGAACCUUGGAGAGUAUCUAACCAGCAACAGUGUCAGUUUAAAUUCUUAUGAAAAACGUCUAGGAUUGAAAAGUUCCAGAAUGGACCUAUUAGGCUCAGAACAAUAUAUAAAAGGAGUUGGAAAGAAAGGAAUUAAGAAAAACAAAGUAGACAAAAAAUGCAUGAGCCGUACAGAGGAUAACUGUACUAUGCCAGACAAUAAUAGUGAUAUAGAUGCAAUAGAAUCUAGCAGUAAUGUUGCAGAAAGACCGUCGACUGUUAGUAACACUGAAAAAACUAAUCCAGAGCAAAAAACAGAAUUUAACAGAUUUCCGGGAAGGGAAACUAUUGAAAGAAUUCGGAAGGGAUGGAACAUCGAGGAAGCAAACACCAUUACUGUGGGGGACCUCUUUUUAAUGUUUGGUCGCGAAUCGAAAGUUACGCUGGAAUACUGGUGGGACUGGAAUCAUCGGGAACAACACGUUGGAGAGUCUACAUCAACAACUUUGCGCGAUGAUAAUUUGUGUCUUACCUUGCAAAAGCUAUUAUCUAUAGCAAAACAUAGUUAUGGCACGAGUAAAGUAUAUGAUAAUACUUCUGGAAGUAAUGAAACUGUGAUUUCCUCUCGAAUACUUUCGACGAAAGCAUCGACCUUUAAAAGACCUUUAAUUCCACAAACUUAUCAAAAGAUUGGAACACCAGAUGCUUUCAAAACGCAGUUAGAUAAGUUUACAACACGUUUUAGUAAACGAGGUAGAACCGUGCGGCAAAAAAGUCUUAUUGUACAAAGAGUAUUGCCAAUAGUAUCUACUGCAAGCAAUGCACCAGAAGACGUAACUUCUAAUAAUCAAGAAGCAAAUAAAAUAAAUGACCCUCCUAUAAAUAAUGAUGAUCAACAAAAUGAUAAAUCGCUAUCCGUAAUUAUAAAUGUACCACAGGAGAAAAAUUUUUUGGAUGAACUUGAAGCGGCAAGAGUUCCGAAACCUACGAAUUCCAUUAUAACAAGCGCAACGCAAAUACUUAAAGAGGGAGAACAUCAAUGGUUGAAUAGUGAGGUAGCAGAUUUUUCAUUAAGUAGUUUCCUAGGUCAAUUAGAGUCCCCCAUGAAAAUCUCACAGAGAAGUCAAAAUGAAAACAAUAUAGAAGAUAAUCGACCAUCGUCCGAUAAUGUAUUACAGGUCGUUUCACAUAUGCAAUGCUUGAUGGGAGAGAGCAGUGUUGAUUAUAUGGCGAAAUUUGCAAACCUUGCAUCACAGAUAGCAUCAGACGAUAACAAAAAAUAAAAGUAUAAAUAAUUGACUAGUUUUGUACGAAUUUUCAUAUGAGCAACUAUGUAAAAUCAUGUAAAUAUGAUGAUACAUGUUUUGUAAUGGAAGCAUGUAAUGAUAUGUAGACUGAUUAAUUUAAUUUCUUUGAUAUUGGCUUUUACAGUCGACUGUUAUAAUAAUACUAAUACUAAUAAUAAUGAUAACAAAAAUAAUAAUAUAUGGAAAAUAAAGUAAUUCGUAUACAUAUACUACAAACUUCCUGUAUGAUUUCACUUUUGUAUGAUUAGCAAUUUAUAAAGUAUAUAUUAUAUAUAUUAUUUAACACUUUGUUUAGCAUAAAAUGCUUAGGCAUAUCUAUUCUGAAUAUUCAUUAAUUUUUUAUUAUGUUUUUUUCUAAGAUACAGGAUGCAAAAUUAAUUUAUAUAGCAAGUUCAAGUUCUUAAUCUUGCAUCAAUAAUUCAUGAAUGUUCAUAAAUAUUUCAUCCUACGUUUGAUGCUAAAGGUUUAUUGAAAACUGCACAAAUGCGGGAGGAAUACGUUUAUAGAUGAUAUUUAGUAUCCUUAUUUAACCCACAAAGAUGACGCGGCAUCUGUUUAUGGAAUCAUUUAGGCUAGUUCUCGUGUAUGACUAUCACUAUUGCGUUGCAAUCUCAUGUAACUAAUUAAAUAUGUUGAAAGAAAAAAAAACAAAUCCCCGUUUGUAACUUCCUUAAUUGAAAGAAGUAAGAAAAUCCAGAACUGUGAUCAAACACUGUCUGAGCUUAUGACUUAACAAUGGAAAAAGAAUCUUUAUCUGAUGAUGAUGUAGGAAAUAACGGUCAUUAUAAUACUACUACGAUCAUUGUGAUAUUCUGAAAUAUGUACGAAAACGCUCAUCAUCUGUAUAUUUGAAUACUAAAAUUUUAUUUAAAGGUCCAAUAGAGUAUAGAUCUAUUAUGGUCGUUCAUUAAAGUAAUUUUCAAUUAAAUUGAGCAUGCUUGAAAAUAUUGCAAAUAUACGCCUAGGACAUGAUGGGAACGAUAAUGAGCCGAACACCCUGAGGAGACACAUAUUCUUGGAAACGAAGCCUAUAGUCUUUUCGACGGCGUAUUGCGAAACAGACAUUGUGAAUGAUUCAUAGUGCCCGCGUCCACGUGAUCUUAUGCGCACGCACCUAUCAAGUAUUUGUUAUUUGCAGAUGUGAUUUUCCCUGGACGUAAGCACCUUCUUUGGGUGAACUGAACUGGUUUCACUCAUCUUAUCGAUCACAGAAGAAUAAAUCGUUAACGAUCUAUGCUUUCUUUGCAGAAAAAAAAAAUGUAACAUAUAAUUACACAUAAAAAUUUAUACACAAAUAAUAUUUGUUAUCUUUUCCUUUAAAGUCAUAAACAUAAUUAUAUGAAU